rnacentral:rRNA from 1 species
UACGAAGGGUGCAAGCGUUACUCGGAAUUACUGGGCGUAAAGCGUGCGUAGGUGGUUUGUUAAGUCUGUCGUGAAAUCCCCGGGCUCAACCUGGGAAUUGCGAUGGAGACUGCAAGGCUAGAAUCUGGCAGAGGGGGGUAGAAUUCCACGUGUAGCAGUGAAAUGCGUAGAGAUGUGGAGGAACACCGAUGGCGAAGGCAGCCCCCUGGGUCAAGAUUGACGCUCAUGCACGAAAGCGUGGGGAGCAAACAGGG